UACGUAGGGUGCGAGCGUUGUCCGGAAUUAUUGGGCGUAAAGAGCUCGUAGGCGGCCUGUCGCGUCGGAUGUGAAAGCCCGGGGCUUAAACCCCCGGGGUCUGCCAGUUCGAUACGGGCAGGCGUAGAGUGUGGUAGGGGAGAUCGGAAUUCCUGGUGUAGCGGUGAAAUGCGCAGAUAUCAGGAGGAACACCGGUGGCGAAGGCGGAUCUCUGGGCCAUUACUGACGCUGAGGAGCGAAAGCGUGGGGAGCGAACAGG
rnacentral:rRNA from 1 species